rnacentral:tRNA from 1 species
GCCCGUUAGAACAGCGUAUUUCCGCAGCGCCGAUAUCGUAUGCAACAAUGUGUAGCACCUAACUUGUAAUUAGGGGGUUGCAGGUUCAAGUCCUGUAGCCGGCA